AUGGAAUCAUGGCGUGGAGGAGGAGUUUAUGGCACAAGGAUUCUGAUAGAGAUGGUCCGAGUCAUCGGGAUCGAAACCUUGCGUCCAUGGAGCUUCAAAAGUUCAAUGAGUGUUCUUGGGCAGAGGAGGAAGAGAGAGGGCAUGAGUUGCCAGGGGAUUGGAAGAGGAAGUAGAGGCGCACGCCUAGAUAUCUCCGGUUUUGGAAAUGGUCUAAGAUCAAGGGAGUUAGAGGAGGAGGAGAAUCAUGGCUGUUUGUUUCUUGCUCUGUGUGUGUUUAUGAACGAAACUAAAAAGGAAUAG
rnacentral:rRNA from 1 species